CUGCUGCCUCCCGUAGGAGUUUGGACCGUGUCUCAGUUCCAAUGUGGGGGACCUUCCUCUCAGAACCCCUACGCAUCGUCGGCUUGGUGGGCCGUUGCCCCACCAACUACCUAAUGCGCCGCAUGCCCAUCCGUGACCGGGGUCGCCCCCUUUGGCCGGCAGGGGAUGUCCCCUCCCGGCAUUAUGUUGUAUUAGGCGGGAUUUCUCCCGGUUAUCCAUCUGUCACGGCCAGGUUGCAUACGUGUUACUCACCCGUGCGCCGGUCGCCGGCGG
rnacentral:rRNA from 1 species